rfam:Rattus norvegicus chromosome 8, whole genome shotgun sequence.
GGGGAUUUGGCUCAGUGGUAGAGCGCUUGCCUAGCAAGCGCAAGGCCCUGGGUUCGGUCCCCAGCUCCCA